rnacentral:rRNA from 74 species
UUAAGUUAUUAAGGGCGCACGGUGGAUGCCUUGGCACUAGAAGCCGAUGAAGGACGUUACUAACGACGAUAUGCUUUGGGGAGCUGUAAGUAAGCUUUGAUCCAGAGAUUUCCGAAUGGGGAAACCCAGCAUGAGUUAUGUCAUGUUAUCGAUAUGUGAAUACAUAGCAUAUCAGAAGGCACACCCGGAGAACUGAAACAUCUUAGUACCCGGAGGAAGAGAAAGAAAAUUCGAUUCCCUUAGUAGCGGCGAGCGAAACGGGAAGAGCCCAAACCAACAAGCUUGCUUGUUGGGGUUGUAGGACACUCUAUACGGAGUUACAAAGGACGACAUUAGACGAAUCAUCUGGAAAGAUGAAUCAAAGAAGGUAAUAAUCCUGUAGUCGAAAAUGUUGUCUCUCUUGAGUGGAUCCUGAGUACGACGGAGCACGUGAAAUUCCGUUGGAAUCUGGGAGGACCAUCUCCUAAGGCUAAAUACUCUCUAGUGACCGAUAGUGAACCAGUACCGUGAGGGAAAGGUGAAAAGCACCCCGGAAGGGGAGUGAAAUAGAACCUGAAACCGUGUGCUUACAAGUAGUCAGAGCCCGUUAAUGGGUGAUGGCGUGCCUUUUGUAGAAUGAACCGGCGAGUUACGAUUUGAUGCAAGGUUAAGCAGUAAAUGUGGAGCCGUAGCGAAAGCGAGUCUGAAUAGGGCGUUUAGUAUUUGGUCGUAGACCCGAAACCAGGUGAUCUACCCUUGGUCAGGUUGAAGUUCAGGUAACACUGAAUGGAGGACCGAACCGACUUACGUUGAAAAGUGAGCGGAUGAACUGAGGGUAGCGGAGAAAUUCCAAUCGAACCUGGAGAUAGCUGGUUCUCUCCGAAAUAGCUUUAGGGCUAGCCUCAAGUGAUGAUUAUUGGAGGUAGAGCACUGUUUGGACGAGGGGCCCCUCUCGGGUUACCGAAUUCAGACAAACUCCGAAUGCCAAUUAAUUUAACUUGGGAGUCAGAACAUGGGUGAUAAGGUCCGUGUUCGAAAGGGAAACAGCCCAGACCACCAGCUAAGGUCCCAAAAUAUAUGUUAAGUGGAAAAGGAUGUGGCGUUGCCCAGACAACUAGGAUGUUGGCUUAGAAGCAGCCAUCAUUUAAAGAGUGCGUAAUAGCUCACUAGUCGAGUGACACUGCGCCGAAAAUGUACCGGGGCUAAACAUAUUACCGAAGCUGUGGAUUGUCCUUUGGACAAUGGUAGGAGAGCGUUCUAAGGGCGUUGAAGCAUGAUCGUAAGGACAUGUGGAGCGCUUAGAAGUGAGAAUGCCGGUGUGAGUAGCGAAAGACGGGUGAGAAUCCCGUCCACCGAUUGACUAAGGUUUCCAGAGGAAGGCUCGUCCGCUCUGGGUUAGUCGGGUCCUAAGCUGAGGCCGACAGGCGUAGGCGAUGGAUAACAGGUUGAUAUUCCUGUACCACCUAUAAUCGUUUUAAUCGAUGGGGGGACGCAGUAGGAUAGGCGAAGCGUGCGAUUGGAUUGCACGUCUAAGCAGUAAGGCUGAGUAUUAGGCAAAUCCGGUACUCAUUAAGGCUGAGCUGUGAUGGGGAGAAGACAUUGUGUCUUCGAGUCGUUGAUUUCACACUGCCGAGAAAAGCCUCUAGAUAGAAAAUAGGUGCCCGUACCGCAAACCGACACAGGUAGUCAAGAUGAGAAUUCUAAGGUGAGCGAGCGAACUCUCGUUAAGGAACUCGGCAAAAUGACCCCGUAACUUCGGGAGAAGGGGUGCUCUUUAGGGUUAACGCCCAGAAGAGCCGCAGUGAAUAGGCCCAAGCGACUGUUUAUCAAAAACACAGGUCUCUGCUAAACCGUAAGGUGAUGUAUAGGGGCUGACGCCUGCCCGGUGCUGGAAGGUUAAGAGGAGUGGUUAGCUUCUGCGAAGCUACGAAUCGAAGCCCCAGUAAACGGCGGCCGUAACUAUAACGGUCCUAAGGUAGCGAAAUUCCUUGUCGGGUAAGUUCCGACCCGCACGAAAGGCGUAACGAUUUGGGCACUGUCUCAACGAGAGACUCGGUGAAAUCAUAGUACCUGUGAAGAUGCAGGUUACCCGCGACAGGACGGAAAGACCCCGUGGAGCUUUACUGUAGCCUGAUAUUGAAAUUCGGCACAGCUUGUACAGGAUAGGUAGGAGCCUUUGAAACGUGAGCGCUAGCUUACGUGGAGGCGCUGGUGGGAUACUACCCUAGCUGUGUUGGCUUUCUAACCCGCACCACUUAUCGUGGUGGGAGACAGUGUCAGGCGGGCAGUUUGACUGGGGCGGUCGCCUCCUAAAAGGUAACGGAGGCGCUCAAAGGUUCCCUCAGAAUGGUUGGAAAUCAUUCAUAGAGUGUAAAGGCAUAAGGGAGCUUGACUGCGAGACCUACAAGUCGAGCAGGGUCGAAAGACGGACUUAGUGAUCCGGUGGUUCCGUAUGGAAGGGCCAUCGCUCAACGGAUAAAAGCUACCCCGGGGAUAACAGGCUUAUCUCCCCCAAGAGUUCACAUCGACGGGGAGGUUUGGCACCUCGAUGUCGGCUCAUCGCAUCCUGGGGCUGUAGUCGGUCCCAAGGGUUGGGCUGUUCGCCCAUUAAAGCGGUACGCGAGCUGGGUUCAGAACGUCGUGAGACAGUUCGGUCCCUAUCCGUCGUGGGCGUAGGAAAUUUGAGAGGAGCUGUCCUUAGUACGAGAGGACCGGGAUGGACAUACCUCUGGUGUACCAGUUGUCGUGCCAACGGCAUAGCUGGGUAGCUAUGUGUGGACGGGAUAAGUGCUGAAAGCAUCUAAGCAUGAAGCCCCCCUCAAGAUGAGAUUUCCCAACUUCGGUUAUAAGAUCCCUCAAAGAUGAUGAGGUUAAUAGGUUCGAGGUGGAAGCAUGGUGACAUGUGGAGCUGACGAAUACUAAUCGAUCGAAGACUUAAUCAA